ensembl:lncRNA
GGCUGCUUCUCACAGGGCAGACGGAACUUUCAGAGUCCCCCUGUGUGUACUAAGUCGCUUCAGUCGUGUCCGACUCUUUGGGACCCCAUGGACUGCAGCCCACCAGGCUCCUCUGUCCAUGGGAUUCUCCAGGCAAGAAUACUGGAGUGGAUUACCAUGCCCUCCUCCAGGGGAUCUUCCCGACCCAGGGAUCACACCCGAGUCUCUUAGUCUCCUGCAUUGGCAGGUGGGUUCUUUACAAUUAGUGCCACCUGGGAAGCCGAGAGACUCUCCCCCUCUAGUCAGUGCUUUCUUUUGUUUUAAAGAAACAUUAUAUAUAUGGAGAGAGAGAGAGAGAGAAAGGAAAUCUGGGGCUAAAGGAUCAACAGGAGCCAGACUGGGUUUCCCUCUCAUCUCAGCCACUUACUAGCUAUGUGAUCAUGAGUAAGUUAUUCUCACCUCUCCGAACCUCAGUUUCUUUCUGAGAAAAAAGGGAGAACUAUACCUAUUUAAGCGGAGAAGGCAAUGGCACCCCACUCCAGUACUUUUGCCUGAAAAAUCCCAUGGACAGAGGAGCCUGGUGGGCUGCAGUCCAUGGGGUCGCUGGGAGUCGGACACGACUGAGCGACUUCACUUUCACUUUUCACUUUCAUGCAUUGGAGAAGGAAAUGGCAACCCACUCCAGUGUUCUUGCCUGGAAAAUCCCAGGGACGGGGGAGCCUGGUGGGCUGCCAUCUAUGGGGUCGCACAGAGUCGGACACGACUGAAGAGACUUAGCAGCAGCAGCAGCAUACCCACUUAAGAGGGUCCAUGAGAUUUAAAAUCAAAAGUCCUGCCAGGUUCUUGAUCACUGAGGGUGCUCAAUAAAUGUCAUUUCCUCCUUUCCUCAGCAGACAUAGGGAGAUAGAGAUGAUUACAUAGGUAAUACAGUUUAGGACACAAUGAAAGUAAUAUUUGUUUUUUUCUUAGUGUGUGUGUGGGGAUGGGCAGAGCUAUAGUGGGGGUGGGGGUGAAGGGAAGUCUGCAUUCUCACUUUCCUCCAAGCUUCUCAGCCUUUGCAGGUCUGGGAAGAGGAACCCAAACUGUGUGUAGUGACUCUGAUCACAUCUCCGUUGGAGAGAUUAAAGGCAUGCUUCACUCCCGACUUUACACUAACCGGCUAAUAAAUAAUAAGGGCUGUUUGUUAUUGUGUCGGGGCUGGGAUGGGGCGGGGCGGCCCAUCCAUCUGUCUUCCAGUCGGGAGCCGCUCCGAUGGUUCCAGCACCUCCAGCUGCAGAAGGAAUAGGAACCGGACCAGUGCGGCCAGGUGAUGGGAAACUUGCAGGGGAUCCAAGACUAGACGACUAAGGAGGAAGCAAACAGAAAUCCUAUCUGAAGGUGUUCACCUUUUCCCGAG